GAUGAACGCUGGCGGCGUGCCUAACACAUGCAAGUCGAACGGACUUACAUUGAAGCCUAGCGAUAUGUAAGUUAGUGGCGGACGGGUGAGUAACGCGUGGGUAACCUGCCUUGUACUGGGGGACAACAGUUGGAAACGACUGCUAAUACCGCAUAAGCGCACAGCUUCGCAUGAAGCAGUGUGAAAACUCCGGUGGUACAAGAUGGACCCGCGUCUGAUUAGCUGGUUGGUGAGGUAACGGCCCACCAAGGCGACGAUCAGUAGCCGGCCUGAGAGGGUGAACGGCCACAUUGGGACUGAGACACGGCCCAAACUCCUACGGGAGGCAGCAGUGGGGAAUAUUGCACAAUGGGGGAAACCCUGAUGCAGCAACGCCGCGUGAGUGAAGAAGUAUUUCGGUAUGUAAAACUCUAUCAGCAGGGAAGAUAAUGACGGUACCUGACUAAGAAGCACCGGCUAAAUACGUG
rnacentral:rRNA from 1 species